CCUGAACGCUGGCGGCGUGGCUAAGACAUGCAAGUCGUACGGGGUGUAGCAAUACAUCCAGUGGCGGACGGGUGAGUAACGCGUAGGUAUCUAUCCUUGGGUGGGGGACAACGGUUGGAAACGACUGCUAAUACCGCAUGAUAACUGAGGUUUAAAGGCGCAAGUCGCCUGAGGAGGAGCCUGCGUACGAUUAGCUAGUUGGUGGGGUAAAGGCCUACCAAGGCUGUGAUCGUAGCUGGUCUGAGAGGAUGAUCAGCCACAUUGGGACUGAGACACGGCCCAAACUCCUACGGGAGGCAGCAGUGGGGAAUAUUGGACAAUGGGCGAAAGCCUGAUCCAGCAAUGCCGCGUGUGUGAAGAAGGUCUUCGGAUUGUAAAGCACUUUCGACGGGACG
rnacentral:rRNA from 1 species